UAGGGGAUCUUCCACAAUGGGCGAAAGCCUGAUGGAGCAACGCCGCGUGUGUGAUGAAGGGUUUCGGCUCGUAAAACACUGUUGUAAGAGAAGAAUGACAUUGAGAGUAACUGUUCAAUGUGUGACGGUAUCUUACCAGAAAGGAACGGCUAAAUACGUUCCAG
rnacentral:rRNA from 1 species